CAGAAAGGCAGAAAUUUUGAACAAAACAUGAUUUGCCACCUACUCAACAGAUUUUACUAACAAUAUGAUGACUUUGAGGCUGCUCUCUGAAUUGUGACUUUUUUCUAAUGACUGCUCUUCUUGACAGAAGAUACGCAAUGAUUGUGGUUUCACCGACUAGUAUUGUGAGCAUAAUCCAGUCAAAAUCAAGUCCUAUUGCUACUAAUGGAAAAGUGGUGACCGUUUGCUUAAGUUGGCAAUGGAAACAAAUGGAACUGGCAAGCGUUGUUUAGAGGAGAGGUGAGCAAGAAUCUUCCCAGUCCGGCCAAGUUUACGUAUUUCAGCAGAGAAGAGAAAAUACAGUUAAAAGGUGUUUACAAGCCAAGUCAACCCUGUGAUUUGCUACUUGUGUUCAUUUUUUGCUUGAGAGGCACACACCUAUUGCAGACUUUAAGUCGGCAUUCCACAGCCAUGAAGAAAUUUCUUGUUUGUAAACCAAAGAGGAAGAAUUAUAAGCCAGACACUUACAUCACCUGACAGAUGUGUUUCUCAAUCACGACAGAACCUAAAUUGGAGGACUGUCUCGUCUAAGCACAGAUCAAACGGCCUACAAGCAGCCACACCAACGU